rnacentral:rRNA from 1 species
GAUGAACACUGGCGGCGUGCCUAAUACAUGCAAGUAGAACGCUGAAGGAGGAGCUUGCUCUUCUGGAUGAGUUGCGAACGGGUGAGUAACGCGUAGGUAACCUGCCUGGUAGCGGGGGAUAACUAUUGGAAACGAUAGCUAAUACCGCAUGACAACAGUUAUUGCAUGAUAACUGUUUAAAAGGGGCAACUGCUCCACUACCAGAUGGACCUGCGUUGUAUUAGCUAGUUGGUGAGGUAACGGCUCACCAAGGCGACGAUACAUAGCCGACCUGAGAGGGUGAUCGGCCACACUGGGACUGAGACACGGCCCAGACUCCUACGGGAGGCAGCAGUAGGGAAUCUUCGGCAAUGGACGGAAGUCUGACCGAGCAACGCCGCGUGAGUGAAGAAGGUUUUCGGAUCGUAAAGCUCUGUUGUAAGAGAAGAACGAGUGUGAGAGUGGAAAGUUCACACUGUGACGGUAUCUUACCAGAAAGGGACGGCUAACUACGUG